UGACCCAUGAACCUUAGGCCACUGUGCUGC
rnacentral:piRNA from 1 species